rnacentral:rRNA from 1 species
ACGAAGGGGGCUAGCGUUGUUCGGAAUUACUGGGCGUAAAGGGCGCGUAGGCUGUGCUGUAAGUCAGGCGUGAAAUCCCCGGGCUCAACCUGGGAAUUGCGUUUGAUACUGCGGCGCUGGAAUGCAGGAGAGGAUGGCGGAAUUCCCAGUGUAGAGGUGAAAUUCGUAGAUAUUGGGAAGAACACCGGUGGCGAAGGCGGCCAUCUGGCCUGUAAUUGACGCUGAGGCGCGAAAGCGUGGGGAGCAAACAGGA